rnacentral:lncRNA from 13 species
AUUCACAUUCAUAUUUUUCAACGUUUCCUCAGCUGAUCACGGGCGAUUAUGAGGAUUCUCGUGAUAAAUUGGAAGACGUAUUUACUCACGUUUUUGACAGCUAUAUCGGUUCCCGUUUCGCGAUCUGUCGCUGUUAGCUGCUCCUUCAUAUUUUUUCAUUGUCUCGACUUCAAUGCUAAUCGCGCGACACGGACGGCCACAUAACGGAUGCACGUGACGAACGUGCGUGUGAUUUUCAUGCGCGCAGUAUAACGGGACUAAAUCAGAAAGCGAAUGGCUUCCACUCGUCCCCACGGCUGUCUUCUCUUCAUUAUCGAGCGAGGGAGCGGUUCGCCGGUUGUGCACGCACGUGUGCGCGUAUCGGCCCAAGGAAAAUAUUUUCCGAGACAUCUUGGACCGUUAAAUUUUCAUCCGCGCGCGUAGGGUAAGACGCGCUUCAUAAAUAUUUCCUCGACUGAAACUCCCAAUCCCUAAUAGCGCCUUAAGAAGCGAGCGAAGAUAGAAGCAGUGGUAUUCUCAGCGUUCAUUAAAAUCAUCUCGCGAAGAAGUUAAAACUAGCCCGCGAGAAUGACGAAGUUUCAUUAAAAUCCGAGCGCUUUUCCGUUAAAAUUGCAAUUAAAAUAGACUUUUAAAUAAUUCAACCGAAAAAGCGUGAAAUCCCAAUCUAGAAAUGAGCUCUAUAUGAUUAAUAUAUAGGAGAUGGACAAAAUAAUGUGAAAUGCACUACUUUUUUUUUAAUUAAUAAGGAUUAAUUUACCAUUUGUCUUCAAUAGAAAUUUUUAUUCUCGUUUGGAAUAAAGUCAUGCCAUGCUCAAAUAGUCAUCAAUGGAAAGUUUUACUAUUUUCUUUUUAAUGGAAUAUCUUUAAAUUGAUUAUAUUAUAUAAAUGAGAUGUUGGAAAAAGAAGUCUGCUUGUCACACUGUUUUCCACUAUUGCUCUCUGUUUUGCAAAACGUCAACGUUUUUCUUAGACGACGUAACCGCCUGAUUUAAAUAUUAUCUAGUCAUUGUGAGCAGUUUUGAAGAGCAGAACGAAAAAAAACAGAUUCCAAAGAGCUCUUAGAAGAUAUUCUGCUGGAAGAAGGUGUAACAUUACAUUGGCGACUAUUUAAGCGUUACAUUAUCUUGUUUCAAAUAAGUAAGAAUAAAAUCCGAGUGGAUAUU